GACGAACGCUGGCGGCGUGCCUAAUACAUGCAAGUAGGACGCAGUUGCGAACGGGUGAGUAACGCGUAGGUAACUACCUAUUAGAGGGGGAUAACUAUUGGAAACGAUAGCCAAUACCGCAUACUAGUAGAUGGAUCUGCGUUGUAUUAGCUAGUAGGUAGGGUAACGGCCUACCUAGGUAACGAGACAGAGCCGACAUCGUAGGGGUAUCGACGACACUGGGACGUGGACCCGGCCCAGACUCCUACCGGAGACAGCAGAAGGGAUGCUUCGGCAAUGGGGGGAAAGCUGACCGAGCAACGCCACGUGAGUGAAGAAGGUUUUCGGGUCGUAAAGCUCUGUUGUUAAGGAAGCGGUACUUAACCAGAAAGGGACGGCUAACUACGUGCCAGCGGCCGCGGUAAUAC
rnacentral:rRNA from 1 species